rnacentral:tRNA from 1 species
GAGAAAGACAAAAAGAUUGAAGUAAGCACUGCUAAUUCUUACACCCGUAGUUAAAAUCUACGGCUUACUCAA